GUCAACAAGCGGAAUCUGAAGAAUCCAGGAAAUCACAAAGGAUUCUAAGAGGUCACAAAGACUGAUGUUAUCAGGCCCCAAAGCUUCUACAGGAGUGUCAAGAGAAAAAAUACCUUGAUCACUCAGGUGACCUCUCCUCACUGUCCAGGCUUGAAGAACUAUAACCACUUCCAAGUUCUAAAAGGACAGCUUGGGGAGUUAUUUGUGUAUUUGUUUGUUUUGAUUUCAGAAAGAUGUGAACUCCAGGAUCUCUUGAGAGACUGCCAGAGCCAGCAGCCCCAAGGAUACUUCAAACAGUGGGCAUUGGUGCAAUUCUAUAAAAAGAAACCAGAAACCAUUUAGAUGUGUGUCAGGAAGAAGCACUUCCAGAUGCUUGAGGAAAGAUGCAAGAUAGUAAGAUUAUUUGGGAAAUUCUGGGUCUCCUGUAAUUCCUCAUACAAUUUGAUGCUGUUUGUCAAUUCCUGUGGCUGAGAUGAACUUGUAGUUCUCAUAGACCAGGGUCUGCAUGUCGCUGUCUAGAGCCCAGAUCUGCCACACCAUGUCUGUCUCACUGUCCAUCAGCUGGGCCAGAGGGCACUCUCUACGCAGCUUGUCUAGGUAAACUUCUGUGUCGAAGUGCACCCCGUUCAGAUCAGUCGGGUCCAAGGGGUCGGGCCACGCGGGGCGUCCCGCCACCU